rnacentral:misc_RNA from 1 species
AGGGGUCCAGUUGGGGUUAUAUUGUUUAAUCAUUCGGAUGUGGAUUUUGAGGUCAAAGUGGGUGAUCGGAUUGCCCAGUUGAUUAUCGAGAAAAUCAUGACCCCUGAUGUUGUGGAAGUUGAGGAUUUGGAUGCGACUCUGAGAGGUGAAGGCGGGUUCGGUUCAACAGGCAUUUGAGUUUGCGUAUUAUGAUCUAUGACAUCUUUUGUUGUUCC